GACGAACGCUGGCGGCGUGCCUAAUACAUGCAAGUAGGACGCAGUUGCGAACGGGUGAGUAACGCGUAGGUCACUGCCUAUUAGAGGGGGAUAACUAUUGGAAACGAUCGCUAAUACCGCAUACUAGUAGAUGGAGCUGCGUUGUAUUGGCUAGUAGGUAGGGUAAUGGGCUACCUAGGCGACGAUACAUAGCCGACCUGAGAGGGUGAGCGGCCACACGGGGACUGGGACACGGGCCAGACGCCUACGGGAGGACGCAGUAGGGAAUCUUCGGAAAUGGGGGGAACCCUGACCGAGCAACGCCGCGUGAGUGAAGAAGGUUUGCGGAUCUUAAAGCUCUGUUGUUAAGGAAGCGGUACUUAACCAGAAAGGGACGGCUAACUACGUGCCAGCAGCCGCGGUAAUAC
rnacentral:rRNA from 1 species